rnacentral:rRNA from 1 species
GAUGAACGCUGGCGGCGUGCCUAAUACAUGCAAGUCGAGCGAACAGACGAGGAGCUUGCUCCUCUGACGUUAGCGGCAGACGGGUGAGUAACACGUGGAUAACCUACCUAUAAGACUGGGAUAACUUCGGGAAACCGGAGCUAAUACCGGAUAAUAUAUUGAACCGCAUGGUUCAAUAGUGAAAGACGGUUUUGCUGUCACUUAUAGAUGGAUCCGCGCCGCAUUAGCUAGUUGGUAAGGUAACGGCUUACCAAGGCAACGAUGCGUAGCCGACCUGAGAGGGUGAUCGGCCACACUGGAACUGAGACACGGUCCAGACUCCUACGGGAGGCAGCAGUAGGGAAUCUUCCGCAAUGGGCGAAAGCCUGACGGAGCAACGCCGCGUGAGUGAUGAAGGUCUUCGGAUCGUAAAACUCUGUUAUUAGGGAAGAACAAAUGUGUAAGUAACUAUGCACGUCUUGACGGUACCUAAUCAGAAAGCCACGGCUAACUACGUG